rnacentral:snRNA from 1 species
GGAUGUAAGGGCGAUCUGGCUGCAACAUCUGUCACCCCAUUGAUCACCAGGGUUGAUUCGGCUGAUCUGGCUGGCUAGGCGGGUGUCCCCUUCCUCCCUCACCGCUCCAUGUGCGUCCCUCCCAAAGCUGCGCGCUCGGUGGAAAAGGACGACGUCCCAGAUAUAGAAGGAGUGUACCGAGGUCUCUAGUCUUCGGUCCCGGGUAUACGAUAGCUGCGCUCCCCUGCUAGAACCUCCAAACAAGCUCAAGAUAAGAAUACUUAAGUAUUUAAUAAACAGAUCUUACAAAAAAUUAAUCAAUCAACUUUCCAUAUGUUUUGAUUGCUU